CUACGGGGCGCUGCAGUGGGGAAUAUUGCACAAUGGGCGCAAGCCUGAUGCAGCCAUGCCGCGUGUAUGAAGAAGGCCUUCGGGUUGUAAAGUACUUUCAGCGGGGAGGAAGGGAGUAAAGUUAAUACCUUUGCUCAUUGACGUUACCCGCAGAAGAAGCACCGGCUAAGUCCGUGCCAGCAGCCGCGGUAAUACGGAGGGUGCAAGCGUUAAUCGGAAUUACUGGGCGUAAAGCGCACGCAGGCGGUUUGUUAAGUCAGAUGUGAAAUCCCCGGGCUCAACCUGGGAACUGAAUCUGAUAGUGGCAAGCUUGAGUCUCGUAGAGGGUGGUAGAAUGCCAGGUGUAGCGGUGAAAUGCGUAGAGAUCUGGAGGAAUACCGGUGGCGAAGGCGGCCCCCUGGACGAAGACUGACGCUCAGGUGCGAAAGCGUGGGGAGCAAACAGGAUUAGAUACCCCCGUAGUC
rnacentral:rRNA from 1 species